GGUUGUGAGGGCGAUCUAGCUGCAACAUCUGUCACCCCAUUGAUCGCCAGGGUUGAUUUGGCUGAUCUGGCUGGCUAGGCCAGUGUCCCCUUCCUCCCUCACCACUCCAUGUGCGUCCCUCCCGAAGCUACGUGCUCAGUCUUAGGACAACCUUCCCUGAUAGAGGAGGACCAUUCUUCGGUCAAGGGUACAUGAGUAGCUGCGCUCCCCUGCUAGAACCUCCAAAUAAGCUCUCAAGAAACAACAAGCUUUUCUCUAAAUUUAACACAAAGGUAUUAAUGCUACAUUUGCUUUAUUU
rnacentral:snRNA from 1 species